UACAGAGGGGGCAAGCGUUGUUCGGAAUUACUGGGCGUAAAGGGCGCGUAGGCGGCCUUCUAAGUCGAACGUGAAAUCCCCGGGCUCAACCCGGGAACUGCGUCCGAUACUGGAAGGCUUGAAUCCGGGAGAGGGAUGCGGAAUUCCGAGUGUAGAGGUGAAAUUCGUAGAUAUUCGGAAGAACACCAGUGGCGAAGGCGGCUCACUGGACCGGUAUUGACGCUGAGGUGCGAAAGCGUGGGGAGCAAACAGG
rnacentral:rRNA from 1 species